rnacentral:rRNA from 1 species
UGGGGAAUUUUGGACAAUGGGCGAAAGCCUGAUCCAGCAAUGCCGCGUGUGUGAAGAAGGCCUUCGGGUUGUAAAGCACUUUUGUCCGGAAAGAAAUCCUUGGCUCUAAUACAGUCGGGGGAUGACGGUACCGGAAGAAUAAGCACCGGCUAACUACGUGCCAGCAGCCGCGGUAAUACGUAGGGUGCAAGCGUUAAUCGGAAUUACUGGGCGUAAAGCGUGCGCAGGCGGUUUGCUAAGACCGAUGUGAAAUCCCCGGGCUCAACCUGGGAACUGCAUUGGUGACUGGCAGGCUAGAGUAUGGCAGAGGGGGGUAGAAUUCCACGUGUAGCAGUGAAAUGCGUAGAGAUGUGGAGGAAUACCGAUGGCGAAGGCAGCCCCCUGGGCCAAUACUGACGCUCAUGCACGAAAGCGUGGGGGAGCAAAACAGGAUUAGAUACCCCUGGUAGUCCACGCCCCUAAACGAUGUCAACUAGUUGUUGGGGGACUUCAUUUCCUUAGUAACGUAGCUAACGCGUGAAGUUGACCGCCUGGGGAGUACGGUCGCAAGAUUAAAACUCAAAGGAAUUGACGGGGU